rnacentral:rRNA from 1 species
AUUGAACGCUGGCGGCAGGCCUAACACAUGCAAGUCGAGCGGAAGAAGGAGGCUGGCUCCUGGAUUCAGGGGCGGACGGGUGAGUAAGGCCUAGGAAUCGGCAUGGGAGUGGGGGAUAAGGACCGGUAACGGGAGCUGAUACCACAUACGCAUAGAGGGGGAAGGUGGGGGAGCUGGGGAUCUCAGGCUCUUGGAUGAGCCUAGGUCGGAUUGGCUAGUUGGUGGGGUAAUGGCCUACCAAGGCGACGAUCCGUAACUGGUCUGAGAGGAUGAUCAGUCACACUGGAACUGAGACACGGUCCAGACUCCUACGGGAGGCAGCAGUGGGGAAUAUUGGACAAUGGGCGCAAGCCUGAUCCAGCCAUGCCGCGUGUGUGAAGAAGGUCUUCGGGUUGUAAAGCACUUUAAGUUGGGAGGAAGGGCAUUAAGUUAAUACCUUGCUGUUUUGACGUUACCAACAGAAUAAGCACCGGCUAACUUCGUG